rnacentral:rRNA from 1 species
GAUGAACGCUGGCGGCGUGCUUAACACAUGCAAGUCGAACGGAAAGGCCCAAGCUUGCUUGGGUACUCGAGUGGCGAACGGGUGAGUAACACGUGGGUGAUCUGCCCUGCACUUCGGGAUAAGCCUGGGAAACUGGGUCUAAUACCGGAUAGGACCACUUCUUGGAUGUUGUGGUGGAAAGUUUUUCGGUGUGGGAUGAGCUCGCGGCCUAUCAGCUUGUUGGUGGGGUAAUGGCCUACCAAGGCGUCGACGGGUAGCCGGCCUGAGAGGGUGUACGGCCACAUUGGGACUGAGAUACGGCCCAGACUCCUACGGGAGGCAGCAGUGGGGAAUAUUGCACAAUGGGCGCAAGCCGGAUGCAGCGACGCCGCGUGGGGGAUGACGGCCUUCGGGUUGUAAACUCCUUUCGCUAGGGACGAAGCUUAUUUUGUGACGGUACCUGGAGAAGAAGCACCGGCUAACUACGUG